UUGAUACUCCCUUCGUCCGGAAAUACUUGUCCCAGAAAUGAAGAAAAUGGAUGUAUCUAUAACUAAAAUAAGUCUAGAUACAUCUAUAUCUAGGACAAGUAUUUCCGGACGAAGGGAGUAGAUU
rfam:Triticum aestivum genome assembly, contig: Triticum_aestivum_CS42_TGACv1_scaffold_320359_4BL